rnacentral:lncRNA from 1 species
GCCGUUGCGAAUUUCGCACCUGCGAAAAUCGCAGUGCAAAAUCGCACCAUGUGAAACAGCCUUCAUUCCGGUUUGCUGGCAUGAUGCCACUCGUGUGCUUUGGUAAUAGCGGCUGUAACAGCCUUGGUUGUUCUGAUGUCUACUGGUGGUGUCACUGGAAUUCCCAAAUUUCCUGCAAGAAAAUUGCAAAUAAAAGGAUUCUCAUUGUGCUGUGAGUAUUC